rnacentral:rRNA from 1 species
UGGGGGAUAUUGGACAAUGGGGGGAACCCUGAUCCAGCGACGCCGCGUGAGUGAAGAAGUAUUUCGGUAUGUAAAGCUCUGUCAGCAGGGAAGAAAGAAAUGACGGUACCUGACCAAGAAGCCCCGGCUAACUACGUGCCAGCAGCCGCGGUAAUACGUAGGGGGCAAGCGUUAUCCGGAAUUACUGGGUGUAAAGGGAGCGUAGACGGUUAAGUAAGUCUGGAGUGAAAGGCCGGGGCCCAACCCCGGGACUGCUCUGGAAACUAUUGAACUUGAGUGCAGGAGAGGUAAGCGGAAUUCCUA